rnacentral:rRNA from 1 species
CCUACGGGGGGCUGCAGUCGAGAAUCAUUCACAAUGGGGGAAACCCUGAUGGUGCGACGCCGCGUGGGGGAAUGAAGGCGCCAGGCGUCGUAAACUUCUUUUGUCGGGGAACAAAGGGCGCCACGUGUGGCGUUGUGAGUGUACCCGAAGAAAAAGCAUCGGCUAACUCCGUGCCAGCAGCCGCGGUAAUACGGAGGAUGCGAGCGUUAUCCGGAUUUAUUGGGUUUAAAGGGUGCGUAGGCGGUCCGGAAAGUCAGCGGUAAAAGCCCGGGGCUCAACCCCGGCGAGCCGUUGAAACUGUCGGACUAGAGACGGCGAGAAGUACGCGGAAUGCGCGGUGUAGCGGUGAAAUGCAUAGAUAUCGCGCAGAACUCCGAUUGCGAAGGCAGCGUACCGGCGCCGGACUGACGCUGAGGCACGAAAGCGUGGGUAUCGAACAGGAUUAGAUACCCCAGUAGUC